AUCACGAGGACCCAUUCGCUAAGAAAUCUGGAAUAAAAACCAGUGAUAAGCUUGCUCAAGUUGGGGCUCGCAUUCUUCCUUCCCCAUGGAUGACUUUAUGAUCAGUGGGGGAUAAUGUAUGUCAACGUAUACAACAGGAUCAAUUUGACACCAUGUAUUUGUCAGACAAUGAGAGUUAUGUUAUGUACUCUCGCCCUCAUUUUUUAGAUGCCUAAUCCCUCACGGUGCUUUUGAUUCCUUUCAUGAUGUUAUUAGAGUGUGAGUACUCCAUCAAGAUCCCAAUGAUGAAUGAUCAGAGAGGAACUUAAACACAAGAAUGAUGGCAAUAUGAAUCUCUUAUUAUGAGCUUGGUGCUACAAAGUUGAAGGAGUGUUCAUUUUUUAUUUCAAAAUUAAGGAAAUUGUAAUCAUCAUUUUUUAAAGAAAUGAUUAGUUUGUAUUUUUAAUCUUUUUGUUCCUGUAAAGAUUGUCU